UUGAAAUUGAAAGAAAAAUCAAAAGCCCAGAAAAAAAUUGAAAUCUUAAAAAAAAAAAAAAAACCGAGAAAUCGAUAAAAAAAAAUGCAAUCAAAAUUGAUGGAAAGAAGGGUUUGAAAGAGAACGAGAAAGGGAUUGAAAGAAGGGAUUGAAAGAGAACGAGAAAGAGAUUGAAAGAGGAGAUGAGAAUGAGAGCAGAUGAAAGAGAAAGGGAUGAGAGAGAAAGGAUGAGCGGCGAACAGAGAGUGUUUUGUGAGUGAAUUAGCUUUAGGGUUUGAGACUUAGAGUGGUAUAUAACCUUAUAUAUAAAUGGAAUAAAAAAAAGCCGGUUUUUUUUAAAAAAGGAUUGGCACCGGUUCAAACCGGUGCCCUUUGUAUUUUUGGCACCGGUUUUGUCUGAACCGGUGCCAUUUCUCUUUGUCUAAAAACCCGCCCAUUUUUAGGCUAAUUUUUGGCACCGGUUUGGCCUGAACCGGUGCCAUUUGGGGGUUUCCUUUUUGUAUUUAGUGAAUGUGGGAUUUCAUAUCAUUACCACUACACUUCCCCUUUUUUAGUGUUUAGUGUUUUUUAGUGUGGGACAAGAAGAAUGCUCACAUGUGGGUUGUUCAUGGGCUCCAAAGAACCAAGUAAAUAAAGAAAUUUAGAAUUUAAUCGGAAUGGUGGUCCGACUCUACACAUAUAUCAUCGAGACAUAUAUUGUAUAUCUAUGUAUAUGCAUGCAGGGACAUAUUCCUUCUCAAGAAGGUAAAAAUGCGGAUAUAGUCAAAUGGUAAAAUUUCUCUUUGCCAAGGAGAAGAUGCAAGUCCAAUUCCCGCUAUCCGAUCAAGGGAAAAUAAAUUUAUUUACUAUGAUAAAGAAUUUGGUUAUAGUUAUAGUCGACCCCGAUAGUGUAGUGAUUCUAUCCUUCGCGUUCUUUUAUUUUCUCACUCCCCAAAAAGAAAACCAAAUAAAUAUGAAUUUCAAUUGCUGAAACACUUUUUUUAAUACAAAAAACUGACUAGCUGAAACACUUUUUUUUUUAGAAAUCUUGGCACAACUCAUACUCAACUGCUUUAAAUUUGACACGAGCAUGCACUUAAUUUUUAUGUAUUCGCAUCCUCUAAGUGCGGAAAAUCCCUAUUGAUCUUCUUGAUUAACGAAUUUCGUCAAUCUAGGGGUUAUUCAGGUAUUUCAACCUAUUACUAUGAGGAUGCGUUUGUAAUUUUACAGUAAUGACAUGGACUUUUACUUUGACUGAGCAUCCAGGUAAACAUACGCUUGUACAUCUGGACUUAACUCCAUUUCAUAGUCGUCAGUUAACAACAGACUAGGGUUUUUGUUACUCCACCUUCAAAGUUCAUCUCUCUCUCUUUUGAAAUCAUCAUUUGGAAUCGACAACAAAUGUAUGUUAAUUAAUUUUUUUUUCAAAUCCACAACCUCCAUAUCUUUGCCGCUUUGAAAACACUGUAGAUCUUCUUUGCAUCCUAUCACACAAUCAGAAUGGGUCAAUACGAUUUGGGUAAGAGGAGGCGUGACUGUAAUGAAGACAACAGGCUGGACAUCUUGGUUCAGCAACCAAUUGAUAACUCCCAAAGCGUGGGGGGCCGUGUGAAAGCAAGAGCCCAAGUGAUUAAUCAAUAUUCAGUAGCAUUGAGAAGACCCCCAAAUAUGAACUGUCGAGUUGAGUCAUUCGGAAGAAUUUGCCAAAAAUUUGAUGAAAGGAGGAUAAGAUGGGUAUGUGAGAUGGGAUUUGGUGGCUUAUUACAUUUGGCUUCCCAUAUGCAUCUACCUAGACAGUUAGCUUAUUGGAUAAUGACGCGUAUUGAUCCAAUUAAUAGAUGCUUAAUUGGUACAAACGGCAGGUCCUUCAAGUUUUUUAAGAACCAAGUUCAUUGGAUUUUAGGAAUUCCUAUUUGGAAAACUGCAGUUCCUACAACAAAGCAAUUGUUUGGUGAUGUUCGUUUGAAGGUGCAGAAUGUUUUAUUGAAAUAUGGAAGGACAUGGGAGACGACACCUAACCAACAAUGCGGUCGCACAUACACUUCAAUGGGCAUCCCUGUUACCGUACAGAUGAUGGAUCGAUUGGAGGGACAGUUUGAGGCAAAUGAUGAAGAAGAAUUCAAAACAUUAUUCCUAAUCCUUGCCCUUCAAAUGAUUUUAUGCCCAAUACAGUCACCAAGACUAGCAUCUGACUUGUUACCGGCAUUGAGUUGUGCUAUGGAAUGCAAAAACUAUGAUUGGUGUGACCUUGUUUUGAAAAAAUUUCUUCAAAGUGUUAAAAUUUUGCGCGACGUUUUUAUGCUAAUGGUUUUGCAGGUGGUUGCGGUGGAUGUGCUAUAUUUGCUGUAAUAUUCUUUCUAGAUCGUCUGAAUUUGGAUCCCUAUGACUGGGAUGUAUAUCCUCGUUUGAAGGUAUGGAGCAUGGAGAGAAUAGGUUAUGCAGGGAAGCUAGAUAGAAAUAUUUCCGGUGAUUAUGGAAAAAUUGGGCUAUUGGAUGUUGCAUAUGGAGAAAGACAUCCUAAAGUAGCUAGGGACACAUUAGGACCCAAGGAAUCUCCGAUGUUUGAUGUGAGUUAUUGAAGUUUCGCAGCUACUAUAUAGUACAAGUAGAGAUAGGCGUAGACGUUCGGAUCUAUUUGCUUUACGAUGGGGUACCAAGAAAGUAAAUGAGGAAACGUCCACACAAGUUUGGAAUGGAGAAUCCUCCAGCGCGUAAGGGUGAUUUUUUCGGCAGAAUCAUAGUACACUAGUUGAGUAAUAAUUAAAAAAUGUUGGUUACAUGUAGUCGAUUUACAUUACCAAAGAAAAAAAAACUACAACAUUUUCUUUUAUAAGUUCUGUCUAUUAAAUUUUGUUGCAUUCACAAAAUGGAUUUUAUGAUGUACUGUAUGAAGCCCACUAUAAUGUAUGGAUAUGUUUUAUGCAAAUCUGAAUGUGUAGAUGAAUGCUAAGGUUU